CAUGAUGGGCCAAAAGGAGGUCGCAUCCCAUUGACCACAAGCUGCAAGUCACCUGUCUGAGGACCUGCAAGCAUCUUUCAUUGUCACCUUAGCCAAAUGUCCCUCGUUUUUGCAUAAGUGCUAAUGUCAAUAUAUUUCUAUGUAAUUUUGAGACUACAGCAAACAAUUAGUGAAAUUUAACGCGACAAAGGAAUAAUUAUAACAGGGGGAGAAUGAGCAGAGGGAGGAUAGAUAUGCCACGCCUUCCCUAUAACAUGCUACAUCGCUGACUUUUAGUGUUGGGAUCAACAUUUCUGGGCAAUCCCAAUGAAACUACCAGGAGUGUCAGGCACGAGGAAGGGUCCUGAACCAGGCACGGCUGGGCCCAGAGCUGGAGAGGAGCGCAAGGCCAGGAACGGAUGCAGAGUCCCAUGUGGCGCAGGGGGAGAGCGCCAGACGUCACAGCUGGGAGCAGGUCUGUGUGGGGCUUACGCGGGAGCAGCCGCGGUGGGCAGGAAGCCAGUGCAAAGGAGAUACUGACGGAGCUGGCCCUGGACCACGUAAGCUCCUCUCUGGUUCAACAGCGACUGGCCUGGAAGAGACCCUGGAAGAGAACUGCCCGCAGCAACCCAAACUUUGGCCACUAUUGCUCACUUGGAACUGUAACUGGUCACGCCUCCAUAAAUGGGAUCCCUUUCCCUUAGUCGUGGGUCUCAGUCACAGGCAUC